UUAAGCCCUCCUUUCUACUCUACAGGGGUCAACUGUUUUGGCCCUUUCACAGUUAAAGUUGGGAACCACUGGAGCAGUGCACCUUGAGCUCCUUACUUCUAUGGAUUCAGAUGCCUUGUUGCUUGCUCUCAAGAGAUUCAUUGCACAGCGAGGCAAGCCAAAAGAUUCACUUUCAGAUAGAGGUAUCAAAUUCCAUGGAGCUGUAAGGGAGCCACAUGAGACAUUCCAAGCUGUAGAGCCAGAGCUGCAAGAGAAACUCAGCCAAUAUCAACUCUUCUUCAAAUUCUCCCAAGUUACUGUUGGAAGUCAACCAAUGUCAGAGUAAGUUCUUGCCACUGUAUUGUUUUGAAGUUGAGGGCAUCCACAAUUCUAAGCCAUUCGGAUACACUUCAUCUGAUGUGGCUGACUUGGACCCCAUCACUCCCAACAUGCUACUGAUGGGGCGGCGUGACGCUUCCCUACCUCAAGUUGCUUAUGCACCAGAUUUCAUGGGGCAGCAUAGGUGGCACCAGAGACAAAUUUUGGCUGAUCAGUUUGGACCCAUUUCAUCUAGGACUAUCUGCCAACUCUACAAUCACAGCAGAAAUGAGAAAAGCCGUCAGAGAACCUGGAGUUGGAUACAGUUAUUCUCAUAAUGGAUCCACAACUGCCAUUGGCCAAAUAGCCAGUGGGAAAAAUCAUCAAAUUACAUCCAAGUCCCAAUGGUCAUGCAAGAUCAGCCAACAAAAUUCAAAAUCAAACAUACACUAGUCCAGUGGUCCGCUUGAUAACUUGCUUGAUACAGGACUUACCCCCAUGACUAGGACAGCACCCCCAGUAAUUCUUCUGUCACAUUAGCUGAGACUAUGGGAAAGGCUGUUGUGAAUUUCCUCUGUGCUGUUGAGGAACAGUGCCCCUAGAGGGCUUAGAGACAAUUUACCUCUUACGUAACCCUCCUGAUUGGAGUAAAUGACUCCAGGUGUGCUUAGAUGUACUCAGGUUGAAGACUGAUCACUCGUACAGUUCAGAGCAGACAGACCUGGCAUUCAGUUGUCUCUGUGUCUCCAGUCCUGCCUCCCUCAUGCAUUACUUACAAUACGUCCCUGGAUCUGACGUGGCAAGACAUCACAUAUACACACACACACCUCUCUCGGCUGCUAAGUCCCAUUGGCUCUCAUGGCACAAGGAGGAAAACCGAUGAUUAAAUACCCAGCCUGCCGUUUACUCCUCCCAGAUCUCUGUAUUUCACCUGCCGGAGGGCAAGGCUAUCACCUCUAAUACACUUCCUUCUCUCCAGAUGAUAAUCUGACUUCCUGCCUUUUUGUCAAUGUCACUUUAAUGGCUCCCGUCCCAUUCAUCAGACUCCCUUCCUCCCACAUAGGACUCCUCUGAGUACAGUGUCCACCACAGCUUCUCC